rnacentral:rRNA from 1 species
AUUGAACGCUGGCGGCAGGCCUAACACAUGCAAGUCGAGCGGCUGCAGGGCGCUAGCUCUUGGAUUCAGCGGCGGACGCAUACGUAAUGCGUAGGCAUACGCCUGGUAGCGGGGGCUAACGUCCGGAAACGGGAGAUAAUACCGCAUACGUCCUGAGGGAGAAAGUGGGGGAUCCUUGGUCCUUAAGCUUUCAGAUGAGCCUAGGUCGGAUUAGUUAGUUGGUGGGGUAAAGGCCUACCACGGCGAGGAUCCGUAACUGGUCUGAGGGGAUGAUCAGUCAAGCUGGAAGUGAAACACGGUCCAGACCCCAACGGUAGGCAGCAGUGGGGAAUAUUAGACAGUGGGCGGAAGCCUAAUCCAACCAAGCCACGUGGGUUAAGAAGGGCAUGGGAUUUGAAAGCUCUUUAAGUUGGGUAGGAGAGGAAUACUUUAUAAUCUUACGGUGUUGACGGUACCAACAGAAUAAGCACCGGCUAACUUCGUG